UAACCCUCAAGCUCUGCUUGGUAUUAAGCCUCACCUGCUAGGCAGGCUAUAAAAUCAGUGGCGGUGUCUUUCAGCUCCGAGCGAAGUAGCAUAUUCCGCUCCGGACGACCGAAAGCACACCUGCUAAUAACCCAAAUUUUUCA
rnacentral:misc_RNA from 1 species